AAAGAUUAAGCCAUGCAUGUCUAAGUAUAAAUAAAUUUAUAUUGUGAAACUGCGAAUGGCUCAUUAAAUCAGUUAUGAUCUACGUGACAUAUUCUUUACUACUUGGAUAACCGUGGUAAUUCUAGAGCUAAUACAUGCAAAAAAACCCUGACUUACGAAAGGGUGCACUUAUUAGAUAAAGCCAACGCUGGGUAAAACCGGUUUCCCUUGGUGAUUCAUAAUAAUUUAGCGGAUCGCAUGGCCUUGUGCUAGCGACAGUCCACUCGAUUUUCUGCCCUAUCAUGGUUGAGAUUGUAAGAUAGAGGCUUACAAUGCCUACAACGGGUAACGGGGAAUUAGGGUUCGAUUCCGGAGAGGGAGCCUGAGAAACGGCUACCACACCCAAGGAAGGCAGCAGGCGCGCAAAUUACCCAAUCCCGACACGGGGAGGUAGUGACAAUAAAUAACAAUGCAGGGCCUUUAAGGUCUUGCAAUUGGAAUGAGUACAAUUUAAAUCCCUUAACGAGGAUCAAUUGGAGGGCAAGUCUGGUGCCAGCAGCCGCGGUAAUUCCAGCUCCAAUAGCGUAUAUUAAAGUUGUUGCAGUUAAAACGUCCGUAGUCAAAUUUUAGUCUUUAGAUGAGGUGGCCUGGUCUUCAUUGAUCAAGCUCGCUUUUAUCGAGACUUUUUUUCUGGUUAUGCUAUGAAUAGCUUCGGUUGUUUAUAGUCUCUAGCCAGAUGAUUACCAUGAGCAAAUCAGAGUGUUUAAAGCAGGCUUUUAAGCUUGAAUGUGUUAGCAUGGAAUAAUGAAAUAUGACUUUAGUCCCUAUUUCGUUGGUUCAGGAACUUAAGUAAUGAUGAAUAGAAACGGUUGGGGACAUUUGUAUUUGGUCGCUAGAGGUGAAAUUCUUGGAUUGACCGAAGACAAACUACUGCGAAAGCAUUUGAUCCAGGACGUUUUCAUUGAUCAAGGUCUAAAGUUAAGGGAUCGAAGACGAUUAGAUACCGUCGUAGUCUUAACCACAAACUAUGCCGACUAGAGAUUGGGCUUGUUUAUUAUGACUAGCUCAGCAUCUUAGCGAAAGUAAAGUUUUUGGGUUCUGGGGGGAGUAUGGGACGCAAGGCUGAAACUUAAAGGAAUUGACGGAAGGGCACCACCAGGAGUGGAGCCUGCGGCU
rnacentral:rRNA from 1 species